rnacentral:rRNA from 1 species
CAGUUCGGACUGUAGGCUGCAACUCGCCUACACGAAGUCGGAAUCGCUGUAAUCGCGGAUCAGCAUGCCGCGGUGAAUACGUUCCCGGGCCUUGUACACACCGCCCGUCACACCAUGGGAGUCGAUAACGCCCGAAGUCAGUGACCCAACCUUAUAGGAGGGAGCUGCCGAAGGCGGGAUUGAUAACUGGGGUGAAGUCGUAACAAGGUAGC